UACGUAGGGGGCUAGCGUUGUCCGGAAUUACUGGGCGUAAAGGGCGCGUAGGCGGCCUUCUAAGUCGAACGUGAAAUCCCCGGGCUCAACCCGGGAACUGCGUCCGAUACUGGAAGGCUUGAAUCCGGGAGAGGGAUGCGGAAUUCCAGGUGUAGCGGUGAAAUGCGUAGAUAUCUGGAGGAACACCGGUGGCGAAGGCGGCAUCCUGGACCGGUACUGACGCUGAGGUGCGAAAGCGUGGGGAGCAAACAGG
rnacentral:rRNA from 1 species